rnacentral:lncRNA from 1 species
CCAACACCACACUAAAAUCAAACCCCCAUAAUUUAUCACAAAAAACAUGUUUUCAUCUUUUACAAAUCUCACACAACAAUGGCUCCAUUAUCACUUAACCUUCCAUCAACCCAUCCCAAAAUAACUUAACUCUCAUUUCUUAUCCCUCUCCACACCGUGAAAUUCCGUACCUUCCAUCAACCCAUCCCAAAAUAACUUAACUCUCAUUUCUUAUCCCUCUCCACACCGUGAAAUUCCGAACGACCGAGACAUACGACAAACCGCCGUCGACCGCCACGAAGUCUCUAUUUGGUAGUUUUUUCUUUGCUUUCCAUUUUGUUUAAAUAUUGUUUGAAGUUUGUGGUGGUUUCUUUUGAUUUUUAGAAAUUUUGCUUUUUAUUUUAUUUUCUUGAAUAUGUAAGUUUGAAAGAAAAAGAGAAGAGAGGAAUGAACAAGUGGGAAUGUAAGGAUCAUGAGAGAGAAAGUAGAGAAAUGGUUUUCUCUGUUUGUUUUGUUUCACACGAGCAUGUUUCUAGAUGAAGGAGGAUCUUUUUUUAUUUUAUUUUGCAAUUUUUCAUCCCCUACCACGUGUCAGUCGGUGGGUGGGGAGUUAAAAAAAAAAUUCAUGCUAUAGCUGGCUGGGUGCUCCCCCCUUAAUGGUUUUUUAUAUUUUUCUUAAUUUUUUUUUUAUCAUGUUAAAUUGUUACUAUUUUUUUUUUUAUUAUUACUAAUUUUAUUAUUAUUAAUAACCAUCUAUCUUUACUAGUUAUUAACUUUUUUAUUAUGGUUAAUUAUUAUAAUUAAUUAUUAUAAUUAAUUAUUAUAAUUUGUUAUUAUUAUUAUUAUUAUUUAUUUAUUAUUAUUAAUAAUUAUGAUUAUUACUGUUUAUGGUUAGUUAUUUACUAUAAUUAUAACUAUUGUUAUAGUCAUUAUUAUUUUAUUUUUAUUACAAUUGAUAAUCAUUAUUAACCGUCUACUUUUUGUUCUAACAAAUUUUAAAUGUUAAUAUUGUUAUUUAUUUAUUUUUUAUUGUUAAUUAUUAUUAAUAAUUAUUCUUAUUAUCAUUAUUUAUUUAUUUAUUUAUUCAUUAUUAUUAUUAUUAUUAUUAUUAUUAUUAUUGCUUAUUAUUAUUAUUUAUUGUUGAUUAUUAUUAUUAUUAGUGUUAAUUAUUAUUAUUGAUUUAUUAUUGUCAUUUAUAAUUUUUAAUGUUGUUAUAAUUAUUAUUAUUUGUUAUUAUUUUUAUUUUCAUUAUUUCUUUUGUUAUAAUUAUUGUUAUUUUUUACUAUUAUUAUCAUAUUUAGUUAUUGAUUAAAUUAUUUAUUUUAAAUAUAAAAAAUUGAUUUAUUUGUUCUCCGUUGGGUUUUUCACAGAUGCGUAACAAUUUCGAAGUUGAAAAUUCAAUUUAACUUCAGAAAUUGCUUAAAAGCAUAAAAUUUUGUUGACCGGCCUCAGAUAGGGUGAUUCCUACAUGAAUCACUUUACGAUUGCUUAACAUUACGCUAAAUUAUGUAUUUCAAUUUCUUGAUUUUUACUUCGAGCCCCUUGGCUUUCUCUUGGGCCUUCUUACAACGAGAUCCUUUUAUUUUUUCAACUGUCUUUCAAAACUUAUAUAAUUUGAUUAUCGUAUUGUAUCCCCAUUCGACAAACUGUACCCCCAGUCCCAAAAAUGUGUAAUAAAUUUACCGCUUUCAUUUAGUUUACUGUACCAGUUGAUUAUUAAUAAAAGAUUAAAAUCAACCCUUUCAGAAAAGAACAAAAAAACAAACACUCGAUCCAACGUCGAGUCUUUUUUUUCCUAAAUCAAAUCCAAAUUGAUUGCAAAGUCGAGCACGCCCCCGCCACAUCCAAAUUAUUUUCAUAAGUCAACUUCUGACACUUGAUCCAACGUCAAGUCGUCCCCCUGUUUUUAAAAGCUUUUCACAAUAAAAAUGGAAGAAACUGAUUAAGUUUAGACUUUCUUUUAUUUUCAUAAGUCAACUUCUGACACUUGAUCCAACGUCAAGUCGUCCCCCUGUUUUUAAAAGCUUUUCACAAUAAAAAUGGAAGAAACUGAUUAAGUUUAGACUUUCUCUGUUUCGAAUGUUAGGGUACUGCUGUAGAGCUCAAUGUUCAAACAUUCGUCUUCCAUAUUAAAAUACAAUAAUUUCUAGAAUUAGGUCAUUUCUCUUAUAGAAGAAAAAGAUUGAUUGGGUAUCGACCUUCUCUUUCCCGGUUAUUUGGACACUGCUGUAGAGGUCUCUGUCUGAUUAAUCGUCUUCCAUUAAUGAACUUUGACCUAAUUUGCCAUACAUUUUCAUAAACAAACUUUUGGAUGAAAAGAGAGUGAUUGGGCUUAGGCCUCUUCCUUUUCGAGCAUCUGAGUACUGCAGUAGAGCUCCCUGCUUAGAUGCUUGUCUCCGUUUAAAAUCAACUCAAACUCAUCAAACUUGUUUUCCACCCUUGUGCGACUUCGAAAACAUUUUCAGAAAAGAGUAUGCAACAUCUAUUUUGAUGCGAAACAAACAAAGACUUCAGCCUCCAAGAGCGAGCAACAAGUAAAGGUUUAAUCGCUCAAAUAUGAUCCAAGCAUCACUCUCUUUAAAAGCAAUCCACCCAGUAGUUCUCUUUGGGUUCCAAGAGCGAGCAACAAGUAAAGGUUUAAUCGCUCAAAUAUGAUCCAAGCAUCACUCUCUUUAAAAGCAAUCCACCCAGUAGUUCUCUUUGGGUAGAACUACGUAUGCCUUGAGUUCUUCAUAGCACGCGGAGAUACGUAGGAGCAGGAUUGCGAAAUCUUGUCAGGCACAUUAAUAUUAAAAAACCCUAAGUCUUUCCUUUCUUUCUUUCUCUUUCCUCACUCGAUAAGUAGAAGUUCGCAAAUGAUAUCACGCUAACACUCUAACAUGAAACUAACUAAAUGGAUCCCAUCGAGUACGAUGGAUGUGAGGGGUGCUAAUACCUUCCCCUUGCAUAACCGACUCCCGAACCCGAUUUGGUUGUGACGACCCUUUCUUUUUGUUCUUUUGUGGGUUUUAUCGACAUUUCCCCUUUCCCUCUUUGGGAGUAAAUAAAGUUCGGUGGCGACUCUGUUUUAUUUAUAUUUCGAGCGUUCCUUACGCUCGGGUAUUUUUCGCGCCGCGACAGCUGGCGACUCUGCUGGGGAGAUAUGAAGUUCUCCUAUGCGAGUCAACCUUAGUUUAGUUUAUUUUAUGCUUGAGUGUUUCUUUUAUCUGUUUAUUUACUUCUUAUUUGUUCUAUCUAUAUAUGCCUUUAUUAUAUGUAUUUCCAAUUGCUGUAUUAUUGAUAUAUGGUAUCAUUGGAACUUUCUGGACUAUUGGCAUUUAUGUGAGGAAAAGCUUUACACCCGAGCUACGAGAAAAACUUAAGUUAGGAUGGUGGUUGUGUAGCAUUGACCUGCGAGACAUCAAACUCGUUAGGUUGAUGCGAGAACCCCACUCAGAUGAGAUCCCUUAAAAGUAUUACUAUCUUACGAUUAGUCGUUUUGGCGGUGAUACUUUCAACCUCGAUCUAUGAUUCUGAGGACCUUUUGUAGAACCCUGAACCUAUGGCUUUUAGGACCGAUGGUUGUGUAGUGUUAACCUAUGAGGACCUUAGGACCCGUUGGGUUAAUACGAAGACCUCACUCAGAAUAGAUCAUUUUUGAGGAUAUUUUUGUCUUACGAGUAGUCGUUCUGACGAUAAUAUUGUCAGGUGUGAUCCAUGACUCUAGGGAACCGUGCUAGGAACCGUGGAGUCGAUGGUUGUGUAGUAUUGACCUACGAGACUUAGGACUCGUUGGGUUAAUACAAAGACCUCACCUAGAAUAGAUCCUUUUUAAGAUAUUAUUGUCUUACGAUUAAUCGUUCUGACGAUAAUAUUCUUGAAUUGGGUCCAUGACUCUAGGAACCUUUUAAACCCUAGAGCCUACCUGUGUUUGGUUUUCCUAUUCCUGGAACCUUUUCUCCAUGAAGUAAUUAAUCAGAAUGUUCCAAUGAUCACCUACCCAAAUGUACAUACAUAAACAUAAAACAUUUCAUAAUCAUAACACAUAUGACAUGUGCAUAUUUUCAAGGGACCUAAAGACUCUGUUGAUUACAGGCAUUCAAAAGACAUGGGUAGCAAUCAAAAAAGUACUUAUUCAUUCAAGUUCAGGAAUCCAAAGCUAGGAUUGAUUAAGAGGUUGAUCUCAGAUGUGAAAAAAAUCAGAAGGAACAACUUUUGUGUUGAGUAUGGUGACCUGUUGACUAUCAUGAACACCGAGGUGGAUGCUUGGGCCAUUUUCACUUUGGCACAAUUCUAUGAUCCUCCCUUGCGGUGUUUCACAUUCCAAGACUUCCAGUUGGCGCCAACACUGGAAGAGUUCUCACAUAUAGCAGACAUUGGUAUCAAGGAUGAAGUCCCGUACACCGGUCUAGGGGAAUUUCCUACACAUUAACAAAUAGGUUCAUCUAUACAUCUAGAUAAAGCGGAAGUGAAAGAUAAUAUUGGACCAAAAGGAGGCACUUUGGGCUUCACUUUGAAGUUCUUAGUGGGAAAAGCUUCAGAUUUCAAAAGUAAAGAAGAUUGGGUCGCUUACAAUGUUGUGUUAGCCUUGAUACUCUAUGGGAUUGUCUUGUUCCCGAACAUUGAUGACUUCGUGGACAUGACUGCUAUACGCAUUUUCUUGCUCAAGAAUCCCAUUCCCACCUUGCUUGGAGAUGUUUAUCACUCCAUUCAUUGGAGAAAUGAUAAGAAGGGGGGAUGAUCCAGUGUUGCGCUCCUUUACUGUAUAAAUGGUUCUUAUCUCACUUACCAAGCGAAGAGCCUUUUGUUCAGAACAAGGAUAACCUCAAUUGGUCUCAAAAAAUCAUGUCUCUCACUGCCAAUGACAUCACCUGGUACUCUCGUGUUUAUGAUGAUGUGGACAUAAUCGUCAAAUGUGGCAACUUCCAUAAUAUGCCACUCAUAGGAACUCGAGGUUGCAUCAAUUACAACCCUGAGCUUGCUAUGCGGCAACUUGGGUUUCCUAUGAAUGACAAACCAGAAGACAAGUUGUUAGAAGGUUUCUUGCUGGGAGAAUGAGUGAAGGACUUUGAUAUGGUGAAGAGGAUAGGUCGUUCCUGGACUAAAGUUCGUAGAGAAGGAAAAAGGGAGCGUGGAAAGAAGAAUUGUAUAGCUAGAUGGCCAUAUACAAGUUGGGUCCAAGCCAGAGCUUCUCAAGACAAACUACCAUACCCUUAUGAGCCUCCAAUGCAUACAAAUCCUCCAGAACCUACUCACGUCACUAUGGAGGAAGCUAAAGAGCUCAAAGUUGUCAUCCAAGUUUGGAAAAAGAGAAUGAAGAGCUACGGUUGAACCUUCUCCGGAUUACUGAAGAAAGGGAUAAUCAUAAGUGGGAGCUUGGGCGGAAGAAAACACAACUUCAACAAAUGUGGAAAGGACUGAUAAGGAGGAAUAUAAGAGAAAAAGAGUCAAACAGGGGUUAGAUCAGGCUGACAGCUGCUUGAAUACCGUCAAAAGCCAACUGAAAGAGGCUGAGAGGGAUUGUCGUGAGAAAGAGAAAUGGUGGAAGCUCGCCACAAAACAAAAGAAGGAGAUUAGAGAGGCGCUUGAGGCUGAGAUAGCCAACCUCAGUGUUUCACUCUGUGAAUCAAAAGAAAGGGAAGAACGAGAAUGCCGCUGUAAAGAGAGUGCUCUGGCUGGUACUCAGGUUACACCUGAAAUAUGGAAAGGAAAGUGCCAGGAGGCUGAAAAUGCUAAUGAGUGAGAACGAUACUGGAAAGGCCGACAUGACUCUUUGCUACAAGAAGGUGAAGAUUGGAUGAACGCAAGGUAAAAUAUGAAUGCUAGUUUGACAGCCUGCGAGGAAACCAUCCAGUUUUUACAUGAACAAAGAAAUGAGUAUCGAGACAAGUUUGCCAGUUUGAUAGACUUCUGUUUACCGUACCGAUGCUUACACGGAAACUACGAUUCUACACGAGAGGAAGACAUAGACAAUGACAACAUCCCUCUUUCAGUGACCGAAUUUAUUUAUCUUUGUGAAGACAUGAUGAAAAGGUUCAAAGAAGAGUUGGAAGAGCUCAACAAAUAGAAGCCUACAGUCUAACCCUGUCGUUUUGUACUUUCCUUUGUGUUUGAAAGAAUAUUUUGUACUCAAUCAUUGUAAUCUGUUUUGAAUUGAAUGAAUGAAGGAUUUUUUAGUUUCUUUUGUACAAAAAGUUUGGUUCCAUUCUUGUUUUAUUCCCCGUGAUCUCUUUGAAUGCUUGCUAAAUAACAAGGAAUCUAACACGGUUCCCUAAAAAUAAAAUUGAACAUAAGCAUAAAAGACAUUUUUAUAGCCACGUGCAUCAAAGUAUGCAUCAUGCAUUUCAUUUCUCAAAAUAAAAGUUCAUUUAAUUUUUUCCUCGUCUCCAGUAGUUCAAGCUGAUUCCUCAACGUGCAUACGCUACCCGCUCCAACACAAGAAGAAUCAUGGAUGUAGUUCGAGAAGAACAAGCUGCCUUCAAAGAGGAGAUGGACUCUGUCAAAAGCAAGAUUGAGCAGAUCUUUGAGGCUAUACAAGCUCUGGCUAGAAGGGAAGAAGAGGCUCGUGUUGCCGCUCCUGCAAGGAACGAUGCUCUAGUUCAAGGGGUUGCUCUUCAGUCAGGACCUUCAGUUCCUAUUCCAAAUCCUGUUAUCUACGGUCUUCCUCUAGGUUUUGUUCCACCGCCUGAAAGAACUCAUGUGCCUCCACCUGCGCAUACUUCUAGAGUAGCUGAUGGAGUCGCUGCGCAAGGACCUCCGAUAGUCAAUCAGGUGGUCAUUCCACGCACUGAUGAGGAGCUCCAGGACGAGUUUGAAAUGCAGAAUUACAAUGGAGCUACUCCAAUGGUCAUCCCUACUGCUGCCCAAGAUUCCGAGGCUAUCUUGAUGUGCUGUGCUCUGGCCGAAAAGCUAAGAAUCUUGGAAGGACAUAACUCAACCCGAUUGAGUGCCUUGGAGAUGUGUCUGGUCCCAGACGUGGUGAUUCCUCCAAAACUCAAAGCGCCGGAAUUUGAAAAAUACAAAGGCCUCACAUGUCCUAACAUACACUUGAAAAUGUAUUGCAGAAAAAUGGCUGUCUAUGCCAGAGAUGAUAAGCUCAUGAUCCAUUGCUUUCAGGACAGUCUAGCUGGGGCAUCUUUGGAUUGGUACAUGCAGUUGGAGUGUAGCAACAUCCAUACUUGGGAUGAGUUGGCUGAAGCAUUUGCAAAGCAAUACAAAUAUAAUACUGACAUGGCACCAAACUGUACUCAGCUUCAGAGUAUGGCCCAGAAAGACAGUGAGUCUUUCAAAGAAUAUGCGCAACGCUGGAGAGAAUUGGCUGCAAGGGUGCACCCACCAUUGGUUGAUCAUGAAUUGAUUGACAUUUUCAUGGGUACCUUGCAGGGCCAAUAUUAUGAAAGAUUGAUCAGUAGUGUGUUCACAGGAUUUUCUGACAUGGUGAUCGUAGGAGAAAGAGUAGAAGAAGGACUGAAAAGUGGUAAAAUCCAGGGAGGUUCCAUCAGUCAACCAAUCUUGAAGAAGCCUUUCAACGGAUUCAAGAGGAAGGAGGAUGGGACUAGUUCCAUUUCUUCUCAAAGGGGGAGGGAACCAUACAAGACUCCUGCAUCUGUGCCUUAUUAUCAGUACCCUUACGUAGCGGCUGCUCUAUAUCCAACCAUACUUUACCGUCCAAUUGCUCCUGUUCCUAUUCCAGCUCCGGUACCUCACUAUCAAGUUCCAGUUCCUCAAUAUCAAGCUCCACAACCCCAGUUCCAGGCUCCUCCACCUCAACAUCAACAGAGAAAUCAACAAAAUAAUCAACCACGUCCAGUUCAGCAGCAACGACCAAAUCAACAGAGGCCAUAUCAACAGUACAAUAAUGUGAAUACCACUCUAUCAACAGAGAAAUCAACAAAAUAAUCAACCACGUCCAGUUCAGCAGCAACGACCAAAUCAACAGAGGCCAUAUCAACAGUACAAUAAUGUGAAUACCACUCCUAUCCCAAUGACUUACACUCAAUUACUACCGUAUCUGAUUCAGAAUGGGACUGUCGUGCCAAGGGCAUUACCUCCAAUGCCGAAGCUGCAUAAGCCUUGGUAUGAUGAGAAUGCUAGAUGUGCCUUUCAUGCUAAUUCAUAGGGUCAUACAAUAGAGAAUUGCAAGGUGUUCAAACUCCGGAUUCAAGAGUUGAUAGAUUAGAAAAUAUUGUCUUUUGCUGAUGUUCCAAAUGUGGGGAACAAUCCUUUGCCUAAACAUGAUAGUUCAGGUGUCAAUGUUAUAGAAAGUUCAACUAAUGAUGGAUUGAUAAAGGAUGUGUUCAAGUUGAAGACUCUUUUAACAAUGGUCCAUGCUAGAUUGAUGGAAGCAGAAUUAAUGAAUGGAGUACAUGAUAAUUGUGUGGUGUGUUCAUCCAACCCUGAUCAGUGUGGUGAGUUCAAAAUUUGUCUUCAACGUUUGAUGGAUCAGCGGGUUAUUCAGUUCACUAGAGCAAAGAUUGAUGAGGAUGUUGUUGUGAUUGUGCCUGUGUUUGAUCAAGAAAGGCUUCCCAAGCCUUUUGUGGUCCCUUAUCAGAGAAAUGCUGACCUAGAGCUAGUGAAGAAGAUUGAGCCCAUGGUUAUCUAUGUUCCCGCUCCAUUCUCAUUUGACGGUAGCAAAGCAGUUCCUUGGAACUAUGAGCCUGUAGUUUAUGUGGGUAACAAACCAGUAAUCUUGAAAGAGCCAGAUGUGACUAACAUCGUUGUAGCUAGUAGUGUGACUCGAAGUGGAAGGGUUUUUGCUCCUGAAGUGAUCCCAAACAAAGAAAGUGCACCAACAGUUGAACCAACGAAGGGGAAAGAGGUGAAUCCUCCAGAAGCAGGAGAAGGCUCAUCUAAGAAAGCAGUGACUGCUGAAGAGGAUAGAGAAUUCUUGAAGAUCAUCAAGAAGAGUGAUUACAAGAUCGUAGAUCAGCUCAACCAAACUCCUUCAAAAAUCUCCAUUCUUUCUCUACUUAUGAGUUCUGAGGCUCAUAGGACUGCUCUAUUGAAGUUCUUGAACGAAGCUUAUGUGGCAGAAGACAUCGGUGUUAUUCAGUUUGAUAAUGUGGUUACCAAUCUCAAUGCUAGUAGUUAUUUGAUGUUCACUGAUGAUGAUUUACCCCCUAAUGGGCGAGAACACAAUAUGGCGCUUCAUAUCUCCAUUCAGUGUACAGAUGUCACUUUGGCUCGAGUACUGGUAGAUACAAGUUCAUCCUUGAAUGUGUUACCUAAGACUACCCUGGCACAAUUGAAUAUUGAAGGGGUGCAGAUGAGACCCAGUGCUUUGAUAGUGAAAGCUUUUGAUGGGUCUAAGCGAACAGUUAUUGGGGAGAUUGACCUCUCAAUCCUGAUUGACCCUCAAACGUUCCGCAUUACCUUCCAGGUAAUGGAUAUUAGGCCUGCCUAUAGUUGUCCGUUAGGUAGACCUUGGAUCCAUGCUGCUGGAGCUGUCACCUCGACAAUUCACCAGAAGCUGAAGUUUGUUACUUCUGGUAAGCUGGUAUCAGUAUCCGGAGAGGAAGAUAUUUUCGUCAGCCAUUACUGAAGAAAGUCUAUGUAACUUCAUCCACUUCUGUAACAACUUUGAGGUCUCCAAGCCCUUGAAGUGGUCAAUGUGGUCCAGACUAAGCUGAAACUUGUUGAAGAACCCAAGGGGGUCAUGACCUCAUGGAAGAGUGUGAAAGCUGCAAUUGAAGCUGGUUGCCCUGGAAGUUGGGGCACAAUGAUUGAAUUACCAGAGAAGAAAGACAAGUGUGGAUUAGGAUAUCAGCCAUCUAUUGAACUUUUCAAAGAUCAGAAGAUACAUCAGGGGAAGGUUCCUAGCAUCCAGGAAAUAUUCUCCAAAGCUGGUUUCCGAAGUGAUGAUCAAGUGAAUGCUCUUGAGGAUGAAGAUCCAGAUUUGUCCAAGAUGGUGUUUUGUGGACCUCCGGAUGCCGCUCUCACUAACUGGAAGGCAACAUAUGUUCUGGAUAUAGUUUCCUUUUCAAAGUAAUUUACUAUUUUCUAAAAACAUCCAAUGCCACGCCCAAGGCAUAUGGAUAGCUUUGUAGGGCCCAUUUUGUGUUAAUAUUUAAGCCUUAUCAUCAAUACAAAGCACAUUUUUUGAGAUUCUUGUCUUUCAUCUUUUUAAUUUUUUUACAAACAAAUAAACAAAAAAAAUUAAAAAGUGGCAAUUUUGAUUUCACAUCACUUUCAUUUUUCAUAAUCUUCCUCUAAAAAGAAAAAUCAUUUCCAUGCAGAUCAUUAAUAACUGGAUCCAUUGAACACGACAAUGCUAUAAUUCCCUAUGACUUCGACCUCCCGAUUAACCAAGCUGAAGAGGAUGGUAAGUCCAUUGAACACGACAAUGCUAUAAUUCCCUAUGACUUCGACCUCCCGAUUAACCAAGCUGAAGAGGAUGGUAAGGAAGACUGUGAACUCCCAGAAGAGUUGACCAGACUUUUGAAACAAGAGGAAAAAAUGAUUCAGCCUCAUCAGGAACCAGUGGAUGUGAUCAAUCUGGGGACUGAGGAGGAUAGAAAGGAAGUCAAGGUCGGAACUGCUUUGAAAAAAAGUGUGAAGGAGGAACUAGUCAAAGCUACUACAUGAAUAUGUGGAUGUGUUUGCUUGGUCAUAUCAGGAUAUGCCAGGACUCGACACCGACAUAGUUGUGCACAAGUUACCGUUGAAGCUGGUAUGCCCGCCCAUCAAGCAGAAGUUGAGAAGAACUCGACCAGACAUGGCUGUCAAGAUCAGAGAAGAGGUCAAGAAGCGGUUUGAUGCAGGUUUUCUAGCUGUUGCAACUUACCCGCAGUGGAUUGCUAAUAUUGUGCUAGUUCUGAAGAAAGAUGGAAAAGUUCGAAUGUGUGUAGACUACAGAGACCUGAAUAGAGCUAGUCCCAAAGAUGAUUUUCCGUUACCUCACAUUGAUGUAUUGGUAGAUAACACAACUCAGUUCUCUGUAUUUCUCCUUCAUGGACGGAUUCUCAGGAUAUAAUCAGAUUAAAAUGUCUCCCGAAGAUAUGGAGAAACAACUUUCAUUACACCAUGGGGCACUUUCUGUUAUAAGGUAAUGCCUUUCGGCCUGAAAAAUGCUGGGGCAACCUAUCAAAGGGCCAUGGUGACUCUUUUCCAUGAUAUGAUACAUAAGGAGAUUGAAGUCUAUGUGGAUGACAUGAUUGCCAAGUCUCAGACAGAAGAGGAGCAUGUUAUUCAUCUGAAGAAGUUGUUUGUAAGAUUGAGGAAAUACAGACUGCACUUAAACCCUGCUAAAUGCACUUUCGGAGUCAGAUCUGGAAAGCUUCUAGGAUUCAUUGUGAGCCAGAGAGGCAUAGAAGUUGAUCCUGACAAAGUCAAAGCUAUUCAAGAGAUGCCAGCACCUCGGACAGAGAAGCAAGUCCAUGGUUUCUUGGGCAGAUUGAACUAUAUUUCCAGAUUCAUCUAGCAUCUGACAGCCACUUGCGAGCCAAUAUUCAAGUUGUUAAGAAAAGAUCAAGCCGUUAGGUGGAACGAUGAUUGCCAGAUUGCAUUCGAUAAAAUCAAACAGUAUCUGCAAGAACCUCCAAUCUUAGUUCGACCAGUUCCAGGAAGGCCUCUCAUUAUGUAUUUGACAGUACUCGAUGAAUCCAUGGGAUGUGUACUAGGGCAACACGAUGAGACAGGUAGAAAAGAGCAUGCUAUCUACUACCUGAGCAAGAAGUUUACAGAAUGUGAAAUUAGGUACUCCAUGCUAGAAAAGACUUGUUGUGCAUUAGCAUAAGCCGCUCGUCGUCUGAGACAGUAUAUGAUUUGUCAUACAACAAUGUUAAUAUCCAAGAUGGAUCCCGUCAAGUACAUCUUCGAGAAACCUGGAUUAACUGGCAGAAUCGCUCGCUGGCAAAUGUUGUUAUCAGAAUAUGACAUUCAAUAUGUAACUCAGAAGGCCAUUAAGGGUAGUGUGUUAUCAGAGUACACCUUGCGCACCAGCCCAGUGGAGACUUAUCAAUCGAUGAGACUCGACUUCCCAGAUGAAGACGUCAUGUACAUAAAGAGACUAUGAGAUCCAGGCCCGGAAAGAGGCCAACCAGGAUCGCGUGGACCUCGUGUUAAUGGUGCCUCAAAUGCAUUGGGUAACGGAAUUGGGGCUGUUAUAACUUCUCCAAAGGAUUUUCAUCUUCCUUCAACCAAGGUUAUGUUCAAAUGCCAACAAUAACAUGGCGAGUAUGAAGCAUGUAUGUUGGGGAAUCUAAAAUGCAGCUAUUGACCUACACAAUCAGAUUCUUGAAGUGUAUGGGACUCAAAUUUGUUCUCUACAAAUCAAAAGGAGAUUAGGGAAGACCGCCAUCCCAAUUUAUCCCAUACCCGGACAGAGCAUGUCAAUGACACGCAAUCCCUACUUGAUGAGAUUAUUUCCCAUCAUAUUCCUAGGGAGGAGAAUCAGCUAGCCGAUGCGUUGGCUAUCUGUCAUCUAUGUUCAAGGUCAAGGUGGCUAACGAAUCACCUGCUAUUUACAAUUAACGUCUAGACGAGCCAUCACAUUGCUUAGCAGUUGAAGCAGAAAUAGAUGGAAAGCCUUGGUUUUAAUGACAUCAAGCGAUUCUUGAUAAGCAUGAGUAUCCAAAUGAUGUAUCCCUCACAGACAAAACGACCUAAGAAAGUUAUCAGCCAAUUUCUUCCUAAGUGGUGGUGUUCUAUACAAAAGAAACUUUGAUUUAGUUCUGCUCAGAUGCGUGGAUAGACACGAAGCCGACCUACUCAUCAAAGUAGUCCACGAAGGUUCUUUCGGCAUUCAUGCAAACGGACAUGCAAUGGCGAAGAAAAUCCUUAGAGCUGGUUACUAUUGGUUGACAAUGGAAACAUAUUGUUACCACUAUGCCAGGAAAUGCCACAAGUGCCAAAUUUAUGCUGACAAGGUGCACGUGCCACCUAUUCCUCUGAAUGUUUUAUCAGCUCCAUGGCCAUUCUCAAUGUGGGGCAUAAACAUGAUUGGUAUGAUUGAGCCUAAAGCUACAAAUGGACAUCGGUUCAUUAUAGUUUCCAUUGACUACUUCACUAAGUGGGUAGAAGUAACUUCUUAUGCCAAUGUGACAAAGCAAGUCGUAACUCGGUUUAUCAAGAAAGAGAUAAUUUGUCGCUACGGAACUCCUAGAAAGAUUAUCACUGAUAAUGGAUCAAAUCUGAAUAAUAAGAUUAUGAAGGAGUUAUGCGAGAAUUUCAAGAUUGAACAUCAUAACUCGUCACCUUAUAGGCCAAAGAUGAACGGAGCUGUAGAGGAAGCUAACAAGAAUAUCAAGAUGAUCAUUCAGAAGAUGGUGAAAACUUAUAAAGAUUGGCAUGAGAUGCUACCCUUUGCUUUGCACGGAUAUCGAACAGUUGUUCGCACUUCAACAGGGGCAACUCCUUUCUCACUAGUCUAUGGCAUGGAAGCUGUGCUACCGAUAGAAGUUGAGAUCCCCUCGUUGAGAGUCUUGAUGGAGACAGAAUUAGAAGAAGCAGAAUGGAUUCAAACCAGAUUUGACCAGCUCAAUCUAAUCGAAGAGAAGAGGAUGACAACGUUGUGUCAUGGUCAGUUAUAUCAGAGGAGGCUCAAGCGGGCAUUUGACAAGAAGGUUCGACCUCGAGAGUUUAAUAUAGGUGAACUAGUUUUGAAAAAGAUAAUCUCCCUCCAGAAGGAUUCACGUGGCAAGUGGAUUCCAAACUAUGAAGGACCAUUUGUGGUGAAGAAAGCUUUCUCUGGUGGAGCUUUAGUUCUCACGAAUGAUAAUCUCCCUCCAGAAGGAUUCACGUGGCAAGUGGAUUCCAAACUAUGAAGGACCAUUUGUGGUGAAGAAAGCUUUCUCUGGUGGAGCUUUAGUUCUCACGAACAUGGACGGAGAAGAGUUGACAUACCCCGUCAAUUCUGAUGCAGUCAGAAAGUAUUAUGCCUAAGAAAAAGAGAUGGAUAAUAAAAGCUCGCUAAGUUGAAAACCCGAAAGGGCGACUUAGGCAAAAAAUGAACAUCCCGCUGAGUUGAAAACCCGAAAGGGCGGCUCAGGCAAAAAUUAGGGAUAAACAAAAAAAUUAAGCCCGGUAAGUUGAAAACCCGAAAGGGCGACUUAAGCAAAAAAGGGUAGGUGAACUGAAACUCUUAAGGAGCAGUUCACGCAAAAGUUAGGGAAUAUCCAAAAACAUAAUACUGCAGCGACAUAAGUCAAACACUGCAACAAAGCUCAGAUGGAAGAAAACAGUCCAAUUACCAUCUCCAGAAGCAAAGUAAUGAGGACUAGAGGACAUAGGGGAAAGUAGCAAAGUUGUAUUUCAUUGGAAAAUCAGUUAAAUUUUUGUUGCCAUUUACUUUCUUUCUUUCUUUGUAAUCUCCUCUUAGAGGGGUUUACAUCUUCAUGAACCCCAUGUAUGAGUUAUUCUUCUCAUCAAAUAAAAUUGUUCAGUUGAAAAUUGCUUUACCAAUUAUUUCUGUUUUUUUGCUUAAUGUCGCUUUUUAUUUUUGAUAAGAUAAAAACAUUAAAAUAGUGGAAACAACAAAGCUUUUGAAAGCUUUAAUUUAUUUUGAUUUUGAAAGUAUAAAAGGAAUUUUUGUUGGUUUACAAUAAUGCAUCUGGUUCACAAGACGUGGGACAUUUCCUAGAUCAUUGUAAUCUAAAGCAAGUUUGAAAUGGAUUUUUGUUUACAAUAAUGCAUCUGGUUCACAAGACGUGGGACAUUUCCUAGAUCAUUGUAAUCUAAAGCAAGUUUGAAAUGGAUUUUCUUCCAGAAGCAAGAAGUCCUCAUUGAAGCCCGCUUGGCGGAAAAAACAGAAAUCAGAAUUUUUCGCAACAAAAAAGAUCAUCUUCAUGGUGACAAAACUAUCCAAGACAAGGCGUUGGGGAAUCCGAGCUUGAUACCGACAAAAUGCAUAAACUAAUAUAUUCAUGCAGUCACAUUCAUUUUGCAUAUCAUGUACAAAAACAGAUCAUGCAUAAACCUCAGCCGGAUUCAACAACCUCUCAAGGAAGUUCAAUAUAAUCCUCAACAAACCGAGAUUCAAGGGAUGUGUGUUCUCAGGAGUAGAACAAUUAUUCUCUUCAGUAAAUACUUUCAGAAUUUGAUCAUUGUUGGCAUUGAUUCUUAAGAUGAGUUUCUUCCCUAGCAAGGUGAUUGAUGUUCUCCCAUUGGAACUCUAGUGUCAAUGAAAUUUCUGCUUGGUUUCCCCAGUAGAUAUCUCCCCACAGAGUUUCUCCAACAUUGUAUUUUCUCCAACAAAACUUCAUGAAAUUCCCAAGCAAGUUUCAUAGCAGCAGGAUUCCUUGAGAAAGGUAUCCCCAACAACAUUUUCUUCAGCAAGUCUCUUUGAAGUAGUUGUCUAAGAUGGACAUCUCUUUGCAAGUUAGCAAUCUCCCCUAGUGAGUCUAAUGGACGAGAGUUCCACGAACAAACAAGUUUUAUUGAAUGUUCCUCAGUAUAUCUCCAGCGAGCCUCUUGUGUGUUUAUUUCCUAGAGAGUCUCUUGUAUUCCCCAACAGGUUUCUCCAAUCAAUCCUCGGAAGAGUUAGUGUUCCAUGUUGAUCUACUAUGCGAUGGAGCAUUAGGUUGGACCUGUCAGUUCGAUAAUUGAGAGUAAGGUUAAUCCUUUUGAAUAUCAUUAACUUUUCAUCCCCAGCAAGUCUCUGGGAUCUUCUCAUUCCCCAAAAGAGUCUUUUGCGAUGGAGCAUUAGGUUGGACCUGUCAGUUCGAUAAUUGAGAGUAAGGUUAAUCCUUUUGAAUAUCAUUAACUUUUCAUCCCCAGCAAGUCUCUGGGAUCUUCUCAUUCCCCAAAAGAGUCUUCUAUCAGCCAAGAGCAGCUGAAUAUGCGGUUAUUCCCCAAAGGAAGCAUUUUGUUUAUUUCCCAGCAAUUUGCAUCAACCAAGAGCAGUUGAAUGCAUUAGUUCCAGCCAAGAGCAGCUGAAUACUAUUUUAUUUUCCAGCAGUUUACUUUAACCAAGAGCAGUUGAAUGUAUUAGUUUCAACCAAGAGCAGUUGGACACCAUUUUAUUUUAUGCAGUAGUUUCAGCCAAGAGCAGCUGGACACUAUUUUUAUCUCCCAGUUUUGCUUCAACCAUGAGCGGUUAAAUGCAAUGGUUUCAGUAAAAAACAACUGAACGCUAUUUUAUUUUACAGUUUUUGCUUCUACCAAGAGUCGUUGAAUGCAUCAGUUUCAGCCAAGAGUUGUUGAAUAUGACAUCUUUAGCCAAAAGCAACUGAAUAUGAUCAUUUAUUCCCCCAGGAGUGUCUGCCUUUGGCGAAGAACGUCUGAAGACCAGUCGAGCAUGUUACCUUAUAACAGAUCCAUCCCAGAGAUCUAAUGUCAGUCAAAAGCAACUGAACAUGAUUCUCUCAUCCCCAUACAUUUGCAUGUCAUUUGAGAAAUCAAGAGCAUUUCCCAUUUACAUUCAUGAUUAAGGAAUCAAGAGUAUUUCUUAAUUCAUCUGCAUUUUCAUAUUAAAAACAAGAUAUCUACUUAGACAUAUUCAUACAUUCAUAUUAAAACAAGAAUUUCUAACUCAUAAAGUCAAGUCGAAAAUCAAAAGCCCAGUUCGCUUACAUCACCGAAAAACCCAAGUAUUGUAACUCAACACUAUCAUUUACAAUUUCAUGUAUAACCACGAAGUCAAAGAGUUCAACCAUCUCACGAUCUAGAAAACAAGACAUUUCAUCAUGUCUAUUAUAAUUAAAAAUCAAGAAUUCCUAACCAUACAUAUCAUACAUCUAUAAAGAAAUCAAGCAGAUUCUAAAACUCAUCUCAUGCCACAAAACAGUAGCCUUUGCCAAUUAAUUACAUAAGAUAAGAAAUAAGAGGUAUUUCUAACUCAUACAUAUUCAUUUACAUCUGAUAAAUCAAGUAUUCUAACCCAUAGUCAUGUAUCUAAAAGCCAACAUCCAAUUAAUUUACAUCAUCAUUAAGCAACAAGAGUCUUUCUACUCAUACUAUCAUUUACAUCCAUGAUAAAAAAAAAUCGCUUAACUCACUUAUAAAUAUUAUAAAACGAUAUCUCAAUAUUACUAUGAUAAGAAUCAAAGAUUUCUAUUCAUGUUGAUAUCUUUGAGAAUACAAGCAGCAUUCUCAUUUCAUUUACAUUCAUGAUUAAGAAAUCAACAAUCUUACACUCAUACCAUUUCAAUUUAGAAGUCUAAUUACUUCUACCGUUCAACAUCUGAGAAAUCAAGAGCACAUCGUAUAGCAUUAUCACUUGAUGAUUAAAAUAAGAGUGAUUUCAAUCAUUCUACAAUUUCAUCGGCUCACCCAUCAUGGUAAAGAUCGAAGUUCUUAAUUUCAUUCAUCUCUUAAGAGACAGAGUACUGCUACAUACAUAUGCGUAUGUCCAUCUCAUAUGAUGAAGAAUCAAGAGCUUUCAACAACUUUGCUCUUCAUUUUUAAGAUCAAGUAACUUUUACCUACUAUUGCAUUAUUCAUCGACGAUUAGCAAGAAAUCAAGAGUAUUUCCUAAAUCUCGUUCAUCCAUUGCAUGUACUAUCAUAGGAUAUAAAAUUGUACAUUAUGCAUUCAGGCAAACAAAGCUAUCGAUCAUUGUGAAAGGAUACAUUGUCGCAUUUAAGGAAAAUGUCUAUAAUUAAUACUUUCCCCACAGAUUGAAUUAACCUUAUACCUCAAAAUAAAAAGUUUAAACAGGGCAGUUGUCAUUUACCCAAAUUUACCUUGCUGAUUUUUCGUCUGCAUCAAGAUAGCAUAAAUCGGUCCAUUUGUCAUGCAUUUCAUCAGUUAAAAGCAUUCAUAAGGGUUUAGAUGAAAAGUCCGAAGUUCUAACAUUUUAUCUGGUCUUGUUGACAUUCAUUCAGUCAUUUGUUGAUUAAGAAGGCAAAAGAUUUGAUCUCUCAAUCUCAGUGCUUCAUUUAUUUCCAUUGUAUCGUGUUUUCAGAGGUUCAAAAGGUGACAAUCAAGAGUAUUUUUGUCAUCUGAAUCUGGGUAGAAUUUCAUUGUGAUUGAGAAUUAGAGGUAAAUGGUCCAAGGGCGAUUCAUUUACAUCUGAUUGUCUGUUCACGAUUAUUCAAUCAGCAAUUCAAUGUAUUCACAUGCCGUUUGCAUUUUUUAUAUGUCACAAUAUGCAUUUUGUUUCGCACAAGUGCUCAAAAUUCCGCUUGGAAUAAUUUCUUGGAUCUACAGACAGACCGAUUAAAUCGUUUCUCAACUGUACAUCAAAUUAGCAAGCAGCAAAUUUUAAAAUGGAGCUUCCAUACAUCAUCUUAUUAAUUUACGUUCCACGUAGUUUAACCUGGUGUGCUCAUUUUAAUUUUUUGACUACUUUUCUCAAUCGCAUUUCAAUUAGCCUGAGCGUUUUAACCGGUUAGUUUUUAUUUCAAAAUUUGAUCAAAACGUGUGUGUUUUCAAGAAGUUUAUUCUGCGUUGAUCACUUUGAUGCACUCAAAUUUUUUUCCAAGAAUUUUUGCUUUCGACUUUUGUUCGUCUUAAAUCCGUUUAUUUUUAUUUCUUUGUCUAAAUAGUCAUAUUAAUUAAUUAGGUUUUUCUAUUUUUCAUUUCGAUUUUAUUUAGUUUAACUAAGUCUUGUUUGAAUUUUUAUUUUUAUUUUUAUUUUUUAAACUUUCAUACUUAUUUUAUUAUGCAAUUGUCUACAAUGAUUUAUUUUAAUUUUUUUUAAAAGCUACUACACAUGAGUGUUCCUAAAGAAGAAAACGUAGAUCCAAGGAAAAUUUGACACAUGGCACGCAAGUGUGUGGCUAUGAAAAAUUCUUGUUUUAUUAUUAUUAUUUCUUUCUUUUCAUUAUUUAUUGAAAAGGGAGUAGUAACCAUAAAAAGAAGAAGGAAAAUGGGAUGUAUAAAAUAAAAGAAAGAAUAGAAACUGAGAAAGUUGGUUUUGAGAAAUACUAUCUCCCUCUCAUAAAACUCUGUCCAUUCAUCACACUUUCACCUUCCAUACUACAAACUUUCAAAACAUAAUUUCUUCCUCUCAUGGUUUUGAGAAAUACUAUCUCCCUCUCAUAAAACUCUGUCCAUUCAUCACACUUUCACCUUCCAUACUACAAACUUUCAAAACAUAAUUUCUUCCUCUCAAAAACAUCUCACCAUCAUCUAAAAAAAAUCACCUCUUAACUCCUUAUGCUAAAACGCACACACAACCUUAAUCUUCUUCACCAUUCGAACCUCUCCAACUACACCCAUAACCAACACCACACUAAUAUCAAACCCCCAUAAUUUAUCACAAAAAACAUGUUUUCAUCUUUUACAAAUCUCACACAACAAUGGCUCCAUUAUCACUUAACCUUCCAUCAACCCAUCCCAAAAUAACUUAACUCUCAUUUCUUAUCCAUCUCCACACCGUGAAAUUUCGAACGAUCGAGACAUACGAC